rnacentral:rRNA from 1 species
GGGCCCGCACAAGCGGUGGAGCAUGUGGUUUAAUUCGAUGAUACGCGAGGAACCUUACCAGGGCUUAAAUGUAAGUUGCAUAGAUCAGAGAUGGUCUUUUCUUCGGACUACUUACAAGGUGCUGCAUGGUUGUCGUCAGCUCGUGCCGUGAGGUGUCAGGUUAAGUCCUAUAACGAGCGCAACCCCUGUCGUUAGUUGCCAGCAAGUUAAGUUGGGCACUCUAACGGGACUGCCGGUGAUAAGCCGGAGGAAGGUGGGGAUGACGUCAAAUCAUCACGGCCCUUACGUCCUGGGCUACACACGUGCUACAAUGGCCGGUACAGAGAGCAGCCACUACGCGAGUAGGAGCGAAUCUUCAAAGCCGGUCUCAGUUCGGAUCGCAGUCUGCAACUCGACUGCGUGAAGCUGGAAUC